rnacentral:siRNA from 1 species
UCCAAAUAAACAUCUAAUUGC